AGGUGCCCGUACCGCAAACCGACACAGGUAGGUAGGAAGAAGAUUCUAAGGCCAACGGGAGAAGGGUUGUUAAGGAACUCGGCAAAUUGACCCCGUAACUUCGGGAGAAGGGGUGCUCCAGAGAUGGAGCCGCAGAGAAUCGGCCCAAGCAACUGUUUACCAAAAACACAGGUUUGUGCUAAAUCGAAAGAUGACGUAUACGAGCUGACGCCUGCCCGGUGCUGGAAGGUUAAGAGGAGAUGUGCAAGCAUUGAAUCGAAGCCCCAGUGAACGGCGGCCGUAACUAUAACGGUCCUAAGGUAGCGAAAUUCCUUGUCAGGUAAGUUCUGACCCGCAUGAAAGGCGUAAUGAUUUGGGCACUGUCUCAACAGCCCGCCCGGCGAAAUUGUAGUACCGGUGAAGAUGCCGGUUACCCGCGACAAGACGGAAAGACCCCAUGGAGCUUUACUGUAGCCUAAUAUUGGGUUUCGAUGUUGCAUGCACAGGAUAGAUGGGACACAGGGAAACAAUCGCUUUGGCGGUUGCGGAGUGGCCGUUGGGAUACCAUCCUUGCGAUAUUGGAAUUCUAACCUGCGGCUCUGAAUCGAGUCGGGGGACAUUGUUAGGUGGGCAGUUUGACUGGGGCGGUCGCCUCCUAAAAAGUAACGGAGGCGUUCAAAGGUUCGCUCAGCUUGAACGGAAAUCAAGCAAAAGAGUGCAAACGCAGAAGCGAGCCUAACUGCGAGACUGACGGGUCGAGCAGUAACGAAAGUUGGAGUUAGUGAUCCGGUGGUAUGUGAGUGGAAAUGCCAUCGCUCAACGGAUAAAAGUUACCCUGGGGAUAACAGGCUGAUCUCCCCCAAGAGUCCACAUCGACGGGGAGGUUUGGCACCUCGAUGUCGGCUCAUCGCAUCCUGGGGCUGUAUUCGGUCCCAAGGGUUUGGCUGUUCGCCAAUUAAAGCGGUACGCGAGCUGGGUUCAGAACGUCGUGAGACAGUUCGGUCCCUAUCUGUCGUGGGCGCAGGAUAUUUGA
rnacentral:rRNA from 1 species